GUGUGGGUCCUUACAUUCAGAAAAUCAGAAUACAUCUGUGGCUUAGGUUUGUGCAGAGUCUUCUGAUGGUGGUACCCCUAUUCGAAACGUGAGGGGAAAGCAGUUGAUUUGCUUAGCAUUGUGAAGUCAAGAAGCAUCCAUGGGCUGCAAGCUGAACAUCAUGGAUGGUUUACAGGAGUUUGUACCGCUUCACCAAGAUAAACGGUCUGGAGCGUUCCUAUUGUCCGAUUUACAGAACUGAAUAGUGGAGAUUUAUAAUGGGCCCAAGUCGAGAAUUACUUAGAGAAGUAAUUAUU